AGGACGAACGCUGGCGGCGUGCUUAACACAUGCAAGUCGAACGGUGAAGUCGGUGCUUGCACCGACUGAUCAGUGGCGAACGGGUGAGUAACACGUGAGUAACCUGCCCCCGACUCUGGGAUAACCCCGGGAAACCGGAGCUAAUACCGGAUACGAACCACUCAGGCAUCUGAGAGGUUGGAAAGAUUUAUCGGUCAGGGAUGGACUCGCGGCCUAUCAGCUUGUUGGUGGGGUAAUGGCCCACCAAGGCGACGACGGGUA
rnacentral:rRNA from 1 species